CACAGUUUAUACCGUAGCUUGCUACACCAUAGACUGUGAGUUGCCGAACGGGUGAGUAACGCGUAGGUAACCUGCCUGGUAGCGGGGGAUAACUAUUGGAAACGAUAGCUAAUACCGCAUAAUAUUAAUUAUUGCAUGAUAAUUGAUUGAAAGGUGCAAUUGCGCUACUACCAGAUGGACCUGCGUUGUAUUAGCUAGUAGGUGAGGUAACGGCUCACCUAGGCGACGAUACAUAGCCGACCUGAGAGGGUGAUCGGCCACACUGGGACUGAGACACGGCCCAGACUCCUACGGGAGGCAGCAGUAGGGAAUCUUCGGCAAUGGACGAAAGUCUGACCGAGCAACGCCGCGUGAGUGAAGAAGGUUUUCGGAUCGUAAAGCUCUGUUGUAAGAGAAGAACGGGUGUGAGAGUGGAAAGUUCACACUGUGACGGUAUCUUACCAGAAAGGGACGGCUAACUAUGUGCCAGCAGCCGCGGUAAUACGUAGGUCCCGAGCGUUGUCCGGAUUUAUUGGGCGUAAAGCGAGCGCAGGCGGUUAGAUAAGUCUGAAGUUAAAGGCUGUGGCUUAACCAUAGUACGCUUUGGAAACUGUUUAACUUGAGUGCAGAAGGGGAGAGUGGAAUUCCAUGUGUAGCGGUGAAAUGCGUAGAUAUAUGGAGGAACACCGGUGGCGAAAGCGGCUCUCUGGUCUGUAACUGACGCUGAGGCUCGAAAGCGUGGGGAGCGAACAGGAUUAGAUACCCUGGUAGUCCACGCCGUAAACGAUGAGUGCUAGGUGUUAGGCCCCUUCCGGGGCUUAGUGCCGCAGCUAACGCAUUA
rnacentral:rRNA from 1 species